rnacentral:rRNA from 1 species
AUUGAACGCUAGCGGCAGGCUUAAUACAUGCAAGUCGAGGGGUAGCAAGAUUGUAGCAAUACAAUUGUUGACGACCGGCAAACGGGUGCGGAACACGUACACAACCUUCCUACAAGUGGGGAAUAGCCCAGAGAAAUUUGGAUUAAUACCCCGUAACAUAGCGAUGUGGCAUCACAUUGCUAUUAUAGCUUCGGCGCUUGUUGAUGGGUGUGCGGCUGAUUAGAUAGUUGGCGGGGUAACGGCCCACCAAGUCUACGAUCAGUAGCUGAUGUGAGAGCAUGAUCAGCCACACGGGCACUGAGACACGGGCCCGACUCCUACGGGAGGCAGCAGUAAGGAAUAUUGGACAAUGGACGCAAGUCUGAUCCAGCCAUGCCGCGUGAAGGAUUAAGGUCCUCUGGAUUGUAAACUUCUUUUAUAAGGGACGAAAAAAGGUCUUUCUAGAUCGUCUGACGGUACCUUAUGAAUAAGCACCGGCUAACUCCGUGCCAGCAGCCGCCGUAACAC